rnacentral:rRNA from 1 species
CAAUAGCGUAUAUUAAAGUUGUUGCAGUUAAAAAGCUCGUAGUUGGAUUUGUGGUGUACUUUGGCGGCCCGUCACUAUGUGAUGGAGCUUGCUGAAGUCGCCAUCCUUGGGUGGAUCCUGUGUGGCAUUAAGUUGUCGUGCAGGGGAUGCCCAUCGUUUACUGUGAAAAAAUUAGAGUGUUCAAAGCAGGCUUAUGCCGUUGAAUAUAUUAGCAUGGAAUAAUAAGAUAGGACCUUGGUACUAUUUUGUUGGUUUGCGCACCAAGGUAAUGAUUAAUAGGGACAGUUGGGGGUAUUCGUAUUUCAUUGUCAGAGGUGAAAUUCUUGGAUUUUUGAAAGACGAACUACUGCGAAAGCAUUUACCAAGGAUGUUCUCAUUA